CCUACGGGAGGCAGCAGUGGGGAAUUUUGGACAAUGGGCGCAAGCCUGAUCCAGCCAUGCCGCGUGUGGGAAGAAGGCCUUCGGGUUGUAAACCACUUUUGUCAGGGAAGAAACGGCUCUUACUAAUAUUAGGGGCUAAUGACGGUACCUGAAGAAUAAGCACCGGCUAACUACGUGCCAGCAGCCGCGGUAAUACGUAGGGUGCAGGCGUUAAUCGGAAUUACUGGGCGUAAAGCGUGCGCAGGCGGCUUUGCAAGACAGAUGUGAAAUCCCCGGGCUCAACCUGGGAACUGCAUUUGUGACUGCAUGGCUAGAGUACGGUAGAGGGGGAUGGAAUUCCGCGUGUAGCAGUGAAAUGCGUAGAUAUGCGGAGGAACACCGAUGGCGAAGGCAAUCCCCUGGACCUGUACUGACGCUCAUGCACGAAAGCGUGGGGAGCAAACAGGAUUAGAUACCCUGGUAGUCCACGCCCUAAACGAUGUCAACUGGUUGUUGGACGGCUUGCUGUUCAGUAACGAAGCUAACGCGUGAAGUUGACCGCCUGGGGAGUACGGCCGCAAGGUUGAAACUUAAAUGAAAUUGACCGGNGUGAGACGAGACGACGGACGACGACGAGGGAGGAGG
rnacentral:rRNA from 1 species